UGAGAGAUGAAUGCCUAAAGCUAUAUCAUG
rnacentral:piRNA from 1 species